UACGUAGGGGGCGAGCGUUGUCCGGAUUUAUUGGGCGUAAAGAGCUCGUAGGCGGUUUGGUAAGUCGGGUGUGAAAACCCCAGGCUCAACCUGGGGACGCCACCUGAUACUGCCAUGACUUGAGUCUGGUAGGGGAUCACGGAAUUCCUGGUGUAGCGGUGAAAUGCGCAGAUAUCAGGAGGAACACCGGUGGCGAAGGCGGUGAUCUGGGCCAGUACUGACGCUGAGGAGCGAAAGCGUGGGUAGCAAA
rnacentral:rRNA from 1 species